UUUUCAUGUGUGUGUGCCAUAGUAUGUAUGCGGCAGUCAGGAUGAGUUGCUACAGUGAGUUCUCUCCUUCCAUUGUGUGUGUUGAGAAGUGAGUUCAUCAGGCUGGUGCCUUUACUGGCUGAGCCAUGUUGCUGCAUCUUGAUUUUGCCAUCUGGAACUUGAAGACAAGAGUUAUUGUUGCAUCUGAAGGUGUUGGAUGCCCUCUCAUUUCUUUUCACCCCAUUUCGUAGUCCACUAAACUGCCUUCCAAAGUUUGAUCUUUUUGCACACUUCGAUACUACUAUACCACAACUUUCUCUGCCUCCGUGGAAUCGGGUUAAGCAGGUUGGGUGAAGAAGAGGCAUAUAACAGAUAAUUGAAGGGACAUGCUUUGCAGCUUCAAAUUCAUCUGCAUGGCAUCCAGCCACAGCCACACGGUGAUGGCGAUAAAAUGUGGAUGUGGGAAACAUCAGCUUCCACUUUGCAAAAGCUUAAGAGCCGGCAAUUGAUUGAAUGGAAUGAGAAGAUGAAGAGAAUUAGAAGUGAUAUUCCUAAGGUGUUCUGCAGACCAACACACCAGACAGAAGACAUGGAUUAAGGUUACUGAAGGCAGAUUACUAACGUGGCCUUGAAGGGGGCGGGGGCGGUGGAAUGCACUCGAUGGAAUGUCUGUUGCUUUCUUUUCUACAAAAGAAGAAAGAAUGAAAAAAAAGAGAGAAAAGAAAAAGAAACAACACACACACAGCAUCGGAUGAAUUUUAGAGUUGCUGACAAUUCAGAAACAUGAAGGAACAAGGAGAGAAAAAAAGUGGACAAUGUCCUGGACCAAAGUACGAAAGAGGUGUUUUGAGAAAGGGAUGCCAUAAGAAAUAGCAUAAGAGUCAGUAAAUAUUUGGGGAGAGAUGGAGUGGGAAUGGAGGGAGGGAAGGGAAGAUGGAGAGACGGAGGGAUUGUAGGAGACAAGCAGCAUGAUAUCUCAGGCUUUAGGAAAUAGAUUGCUGGGGUUUACAAAAAGGGCAGGCCACAUUCCAAGGUCAAGAAAGGCAAAAGUUCAUGUGGCUCACCAGACAAUCUUUGAAAAGUAGAAAUCCUAACAAUUUAAUCACAAAUGAGCGUACUAGAGAAGUGAAUGCAGUAUUGACAUUUAGCAAUGCAGCCACAAAGACUCACUCUCCAGACAGCAUCCAGUUAUAGGGCAUCCGCAGAAAUAGAAGGAAACCUGACUCAGCUAGAGGAGGGAGGGAAACAUGGAGGAAUGUCAAGUCGGCUGAGUACAAUGUACAUUUGAAAACACUGCUACAAGGGUUUGUAACUUCUGAAACUAACUUCAUCUACAGUUGCUUCCAUAGAUAGAACCCCUGACUAAUAUGAAAAUGCUUUGCAUGAUACUUUCAUAAUAUGUUUAUCAGCAAGGAGAAAUGUUUCCAAGAGUGACAUGAUAGAACAAGGACAAUCUGGAGCUCAAGUCAUGUGAGCUAAAAAACUGUAAAGAAAAACCCAUUGGUUUGUACAGGGGUAAAGCAUCGAGUGAAUUAAAUAGUAAAAGCCUGGAAGAUCAAAGAGCAUGAGAGUUGUAAGAUUGGCUUGGAAAGGAGAAUGAUGAGAGGCUUAUGAAAUACCAACAGGUCAUUGACCCUGAUUUUAAGGGGAAAUAGUGAGAUUCCUUAAUAUUUACUGUUUACUAAAAUACUGUCAAAUUCUUGCUGGCUUUUAGGAACACUAACCAUAAUGCUUUGUGAGAACCUAUGUAGAAAUGUAGUGUUACUGGAACCAACUUUGACUUAUUGCUAGCCACACAUUCCCUUCCCAAAUGAGGCGUAUGGAGUGAUAGGCAGGAAAGCUGAAGUUGAAGUAUAUCUUUGGUUUCAAAAGAAAUUUAUUGGACAGAAUAAUUUAAGUAAUUCUGGGUCAGACAGAAAAUGUUAAGUUGCAUUAACUUAUCCAAGAUAUGCUUCUAUCCCACACUGAUGGUUGAAAAUUUUUUAUUUAAUCCUCAGUAGUCUUGUACUGUAUUUCACCUGAACCAACAGGACAAUUUUUUGUUCCCUGGAAUUUAAGAUAACACAAUAGUGUCUUGACCUGUGUACUAGGGAGAGAUGAACUCUUAGCUGGCCAUUCUUGGAUUCUGUGGUCUUUCGUGGCAUGUUGUCCUCCUUUGUGUCUUAGUACUUUCGGUUUCAUACACACUAUUCUGGAGGGAGCAGAUCAGGUGCUCCUAGUAAACUGUAGAUAUUCAAUGAUUCAGAACUGUCUGAUGUCCCCACGGGAUAUGUGGCAGGAAGUAAACAACAGCAUUUAGUCUUGCUAGUGCUGUUGACUAUGAUAGCAGACAGCAGAGCAUUCAUUGUUCAUGCUCCUCUUUGCUGGGACCUUCUUAUUGCCUUCUGCUCUACUCCAGUUCCUCCCUGUAGCUGAUGAUGAAGGUGGAUUCCUGGACGGCAAGGUUUGAAUUGAUCCAUCUUUUCCUAAUUGCUAUGGGGAGUGCGGGUUCCCUAAGUUCACAAUUGCUGCGCUUCUGCAGAACACACGGUCCUCAGCUGAAGGAAACCAUAUCAAACGUGCCGGGAGCAUAAGCCAGACUUUCAGAGGUUCAAGGUCAACUCAAUUUCGAGAAGGAAUGUGCAUCUCAGGGCUACUGAGCAGAGCCUUCAAUGCCAAUUUAAUGCAAGUACUCUUCAUCCCGGAACACUAGAAGGCCAGACAUAAAGCUUUGACUUCAAGCCACACACAAAACAUGUGAUUCCAUAUGGGCUUUUGCUGCAUGGUAGCUGUUGAAGGCUUACGUGUGCCAGUUAAAGACAGCUUGAAGGUAACCACUUGAAAGUCAGCAUCAAACAAAG
rnacentral:sRNA from 1 species